rnacentral:rRNA from 1 species
CCUACGGGAGGCAGCAGUGGGGAAUAUUGCACAAUGGGGGAAACCCUGAUGCAGCGACGCCGCGUGAGUGAAGAAGUAUUUCGGUAUGUAAAGCUCUGUCAGCAGGGAAGAAAAUGACGGUACCUGACCAAGAAGCCCCGGCUAACUACGUGCCAGCAGCCGCGGUAAUACGUAGGGGGCAAGCGUUAUCCGGAUUUACUGGGUGUAAAGGGAGCGUAGACGGCAGGGCAAGUCUGGAGUGAAAGGCGGGGGCUCAACCGCGGAACUGCAUUUGAAACUGUUUUUCUUGAGUACCGGAGAGGUCAUCGGAAUUCCUUGUGUAGCGGUGAAAUGCGUAGAUAUAAGGAAGAACACCAGUGGCGAAGGCGGAUGACUGGACGGCAACUGACGGUGAGGCGCGAAAGCGUGGGGAGCAAACAGGAUUAGAUACCCGGGUAGUC